rnacentral:tRNA from 1 species
UCCCUGGUGGCUCAGAGGGUAAAGCAUCUGCCAGCAAUGCAGAAAACCCAGGUUUGAUCCCUGGGUUGGAAA